AUUGAACGCUGGCGGCAGGCCUAACACAUGCAAGUCGAGCGAGAGGCGGGCGGGUGAGUAAUGUAUGGGGACUGCCCGAUCGAGGGGGGUAACUACUGGAAACGGUAGCUAAUACCGCAUACUAUCGGAUAACCCAUAUGGGAUGAGCAAGUAGGUGCGGUAAUGGCUCACCUAGGCGACGAUCCCUAGCUGGUCUGAGAGGAUGAGCAGCCACACUGGGACGAAGACACGGCCCAGACUCCAAGGGAGGCAGCAGUGGGGAAUAUUGCACAAGGGGCGCAAGCCGGAUGCAGCCAUGCCGGGUGUAUGAAGAAGGCCCUAGGGUUGUAAAGUACUUUCAGUCGGGAGGCGGUACCGACAGAAGAAGCACCGGCUAACUCCGUGCCAGCAGCCGCGGUAAUAC
rnacentral:rRNA from 1 species